AUUGAACGCUGGCGGCAUGCCUAACACAUGCAAGUCGGGCGGAUGAAGGUAGCUUGCUCCUGGGUUCAGCGGCGGACGGGUGAGUAAUUCCUAUGAAGCUGCCUGUUAGUGGUGGAUAACGUCCGUAAACGGGCGCUAAUACCGCAUCCGUCGUGGGAGAGAACGUGAGGGAGCUUCGGACCUCGCGCUAUCAGAUGAUCCUAGGUCGGAUUAGCUAGGUGGUGGGGUAAAGGUCUACCAAGGCGACGAUCCGUAACUGGUCUGAGAGGAUGAGCAGUCACACUGGAACUGAGACACGGUCCAGACUCCUACGGGAGGCCGCAGUGGGGAAUAUUGGACAAUGGGAGAAAGCCUGAUCCAGCCAUGCCGCGUGUGUGAAGAAGGUCUUCGGAUUGUAAAGCACUUUACGUUGGGAGGAAGGGCAGUAAGUUCAUACCUUGAUGUUUUGACGGUACCAACAGAAUAAGCACCGGCUAACUUCGUG
rnacentral:rRNA from 1 species